GGAAAAUCAGAAUAUCCACAUUAUCAGAGGAAAGAACAAUUCGUGGACAAUUACAGCACGUGCUUGUUUAUACAGAGCGGGCACUACAGAAUUGCUGAAAUGCAUUCUUCACACUACUUACUGCAGACUACUCACUACAGCAGGACUAUUAAAGACACACUACUGCAUUUGAGCCCAAGGACUACAUCCAGUCAAGUCAGUUUUGAUGAUAUUACUAGGAACAAUGCCACGUGUGCCAUCUGAUGUGUGGAUACAUUUCACCUCAGCCAAUGUAGAAGGAAAGGCUGUGUACAUUUGCAAAUACUGUGCAAAGACCUAUGUUAAGAAUGCCACAAAGAUGCAGCAGCAUAUAGCCAAGUGCCCAAAGUUUUUUCCAAUAUUUCCAUAAUUCCCCAGCUUAACUUCCCAUGGAAAGUUCCCCAGCUUAACUUCUCAUGCACAGCAAUUAUAAUGAUUACAGAAAUGUGUGAGAAAAAAAAAAGGUGAGAAAACAUUUUUUUGUAUGCAAAGGCACAGUCAAAAUGUCAGGCACUGACAGCAAUAGCGUUAAUAUUUGGCUUAGAAAAACAUGUGAGAGCCGUAAAGUUGUUUAUG